CGAAGGACCCGAGCGUUAUCCGGAUUUAUUGGGUUUAAAGGGUGCGUAGGCGGAUUUAUAAGUCAGUGGUGAAAGCCUAUAGCUUAACUAUAGAAUUGCCAUUGAUACUGUAAGUCUUGAGUACAGUUGAGGUGGGCGGAAUGGUGCAGUGUAGCGGUGAAAUGCUUAGAUAUUGCACAGAACACCAAUUGCGAAGGCAGCUCGCUAAGCUGUAACUGACGCUGAUGCACGAAAGUGUGGGUAGCAAACAGGAUUAGAUACCCUGGUAGUCCACACCCUAAACGAUGAUAACUCGCUGUUGGCGAUACACAGUCAGCGGCUAAGCGAAAGCAUUAAGUUACUCCACCGUGGGAAGUACGGCCGCAAGGUUAG
rnacentral:rRNA from 1 species